AGCUCUCACUUCUCAUCCUUUUCCACAGACCUGUCUUUAGAAUCAGGCACCAAAUCCCCCCGCCACUUCUGCAAACAAACAAAAUUAUUUUGAUUUAUUUCAACCACAUACACAGAAGGGGGCAUAUCCCAGGCACUACAGGCAGUUCUUGACACACCAGCCCAAUCAGAAAACCCACCUGCUGUAUACUCCUGGACAAGAAGACAAGACCACCAUCACGAUCAGGAUCAUCUCCAUUAGAGCACCAGAAAGCAGAGCAGCAACCCAGAUUCCCAAACCCUACCCAGAGACUCUGCCGCAACGCUCUUCCCACUUCUCUCUGUAGGGCCAG